GGAGAGAUGGCAGAGUGGUCGAAUGCGGUUGACUCGAAAUCAAUUGUACUCUUCACGGGGUACCCAGGGUUCGAAUCCCUGUCUCUCCGCCA
rnacentral:tRNA from 2 species